rnacentral:rRNA from 1 species
GACGUAGGGCGCAAGCGUUGUCCGGAUUUAUUGGGCGUAAAGAGCUCGUAGGCGGCUUGUUGCGUCGACUGUGAAAACCCACGGCUCAACCGUGUGGUCUGCAGUCGAUACGGGCAGGCUAGAAUUCGGUAGGGGAGACUGGAAUUCCGGGUGUAGUGGUGGAAUGCGUAGAGAUCCGGAGGAACACCAGCGGCGAAGGCGGCGUCCUGGACUGGUACUGACGCUCAGGAGCGAAAGCGUGGGGAGCGAUCCGG